UACGGAGAGCGCGAGCGUUACCCGGAAUUACUGGGCGUAGAGGGCGUGUAGGCGGCCGGAUGACUCGCGCGUGAAAAGCUUACGCUUACCGUGAGCCCUGCGCGCGAAAAUAUCCGGCUCGAGGGUGCUAGAGGCGAGUGGAAUUCCAGGUGUAGCGGUGAAAUGUGUUGAUAUCUGGAAGAACGCCGAAGGCGAAGGCAUCUCGCUGGGGCACUUCUGACGCUGAGGCGCGAAAGCCAGGGGAGCAAACCGG
rnacentral:rRNA from 1 species